rnacentral:rRNA from 1 species
CUCCUACGGGCGGCAGCAGUGAGGAAUCUUGCGCAAUGGGGGCAACCCUGACGCAGCAACGCCGCGUGAGUGAGGAAGGUCUUCGGAUCGUAAAGCUCUGUCGGGUGGGAAGAAACGUAUGGAAGCUAAUACCUUUCAUGCUUGACGGUACCACCAAAGGAAGCACCGGCUAACUCCGUGCCAGCAGCCGCGGUAAUACGGGGGGUGCAAGCGUUGUUCGGAAUCAUUGGGCGUAAAGGGCGUGUAGGCGGCUUGGUAAGUCAGAUGUGAAAGCCCUGGGCUUAACCCAGGAAGUGCAUUUGAUACUGUCAGGCUUGAGUAGGGGAGAGGAAGGUGGAAUUCCUGGUGUAGAGGUGAAAUUCGUAGAUAUCAGGAGGAACACCGGUGGCGAAGGCGACCUUCUGGCCCUAUACUGACGCUGAGACGCGAAAGCGUGGGUAGCAAACAGGAUUAGAUACCCCAGUAGUCCCG